rnacentral:rRNA from 1 species
UACGUAGGGUGCAAGCGUUGUCCGGAAUUAUUGGGCGUAAAGAGCUCGUAGGCGGUUUGUCGCGUCUGCUGUGAAAACUCGGGGCUUAACCCCGGGCCUGCAGUGGGUACGGGCAGACUAGAGUGCGGUAGGGGAGACUGGAAUUCCUGGUGUAGCGGUGAAAUGCGCAGAUAUCAGGAGGAACAUCGGUGGCGAAGGCGGGUCUCUGGGCCGUAACUGACGCUGAGGAGCGAAAGCGUGGGGAGCAAACAGG